rnacentral:rRNA from 1 species
GCAUGCCUACGGGACGCAGCAGUAGGGAAUUUUCGUCAAUGGGCGCAAGCCUGAACGAGCAAUGCCGCGUGAACGAGGAAGGUCUUCGGAUCGUAAAGUUCUGUUGAAGGGGAAAAAGAGCGGAGAGAGGAAAUGGUAUCCGAUUGAUAUUACCCUUCGAGGAAGUCACGGCUAACUACGUGCCAGCAGCCGCGGUAAUACGUAGGUGGCGAGCGUUAUCCGGAAUGAUUGGGCGUAAAGUGUGCGUAGGCGGCCUGCUAAGUCUGGAGUGAAAUGUACCGGCUCAACCGUUGCUGGCCCUGGAA